UGCUCAGCCACUCCUAUCCCUACCUCCUCAUGGUACCGACCGGAAACUAUGAGCAACCUUAGGGAAGAUCGGGUAACCAACCCCGGUGGGAACUUUGGUCAUAGGCUGACAGGGAAGG
rnacentral:ribozyme from 1 species